rnacentral:rRNA from 1 species
UAGAGUUUGAUCCUGGCUCAGAACGAACGUUAGCGGCGCGCCUAACACAUGCAAGUCGCACGAGAAAGGGCUUCGGCCCCGGUACAGUGGCGCACGGGUGAGUAACACGUGGGUAAUCUGCCUUCGGGUGGGGGAUAACAUUCCGAAAGGAGUGCUAAUACCGCAUAAGACCACGCCCUCGAAAGAGGAAGCGGUCAAAGCUGGCCUCUAUAUAUAAGCUAGCGCCUGAAAAUGAGCCCGCGGAGCAUCAGCUAGUUGGUGAGGUAAUGGCUCACCAAGGCUUAGACGCUUAGCUGGUCUGAGAGGAUGAUCAGCCACACUGGAACUGAGACACGGUCCAGACUCCUACGGGAGGCAGCAGUGGGGAAUCUUGCGCAAUGGGCGAAASCCUGACGCAGSGACGCCGCGUGAGUGAUGAAGGCCUUCGGGUUGUAAAGCUCUGKGGGGGGAGAAGAAUAAGUGCGGGCUAAUACUCCGCAUGAUGACGGUAUCCCCUUAGCAAGCACCGGCUAACUCUGUGCCAGCCGCCGCGGUAAUUC